CAGUCGCCGCGGGAAUACGGAGGGGCGCGAGCGUUACCCGGAUUUACUGGGCGUAAAGGGCGUGUAGGCGGCCUGGGGCGUCCCAUGUGAAAGGCCACGGCUCAACCGUGGAGGAGCGUGGGAUACGCUCAGGCUAGAGGGUGGGAGAGGGUGGUGGAAUUCCCGGAGUAGCGGUGAAAUGCGCAGAUACCGGGAGGAACGCCGAUGGCGAAGGCAGCCACCUGGUCCACUUCUGACGCUGAGGCGCGAAAGCGUGGGGAGCAAACCGGAUUAGAUACCCGUGUAGUCCCUGUCUCUUAUA
rnacentral:rRNA from 1 species